GGAGAAGUGGCGUAACGGUAUCGCAGUGCCCUGCUAAGGCAUCCAGGUUAAUACCCUGUGCGAGUUCGACUCUCGCCUUCUCCGCCA
rnacentral:tRNA from 1 species